GGGGUCGAAUUUGGUUUCGACUGGUCUAGUCUGAUUCAGACUGCAGUGGAGUGAUGACCUAAUCAUCAAAACAAAAUAAACGCUAACACUGAAUUAGCAUUCGCUUAAUCAACAGCCGACGUAGGCUUUAAGCACUUCUGUCUGUAAAGCUUGUAGCAGGCAGUCGUAUACACAAGCUAGGUGAAGCAAGUUUAGUUCUUCUCUUGCCAUCCGAAAACCGAAAAGACAAAUUCAAUAUCCGGCUGUUUAAAUCCAUAGGUAUUGUCUUAUUUAAAUUUAAACUAAACUGUAGACGUUUGAAUGUGGGAUUAUUCUAGGACGAGGGUUCGAGUCCCUCCGACUCCACCA
rnacentral:tmRNA from 1 species